GGCUGUUUGUCCGAGUGGUUAAGGAGUUGCACUCGAAAUGCAAUGGGACAUUCUCGCGUAGGUUCGAAUCCUGCAGCAGUCG
rnacentral:tRNA from 1 species